GUCAUCCCCCCCCCGUCAUCUCCGUUCUGCAGCCGAGUUCAUUUCCCCAAAAUCCCGCCUGCCUCAAGUCUCAGGAAUUGUCCUUUGACUCAACAAAGCCUCCUUAACCCCCCCAGACACACACUGCAGAGUCACAUAUCAAAGCACAGAGGUGCACAUCAACAUGUGUACCAAAUGUAUUGCAGAGAGGGAGAGUGUGUGUGUGUGUGUGUGUGUGGGGGGAGGGGGGGGGGGGGUAAAACAAUGCAUUCAUUGUGUGCAGAUGGAGGAUGAGAGAAAGAGAGAGAGAGAAGUGUAGAGUGCAGCUCCAUCUACAGGCCGAGAGAACACACACACACACACACACACACACACACACACACACAGGGUUUCAUCUAAAUCGCAGCCUUUGAACUUCCAGUGCGUAUUAUCUGUUCUGUUGUUGUUAUUGUUGCUGCCAUAAUUGCACUUGGAUUAUUGCAGAUGGGUUUUUGGUAUCCACCUCUGUGGCAAUCGGUUGAGCCAUUUCUGCAUCUGUCGCAACUUCCAAGUCCACGAUUAGAUCUUUCCAGAGGUUACAACAUGAUCACCGCGAGACACUAUGAGAACAAUGCAACAUUCUCUGUUUGGAAUAAGUUCUUUUAUCCUCCUUCAGCUAAGAAGGCUGGUUUAUUUCUACUCGGCUGCUCUCUCGCUUUCCGUCCUGUGCUUUGUCCACCUGAGGAGCGUCUCACAUUGGGCCACGCUGCGGUUUCGGGCGGGGGGGGGGGGGGGGGGGGGCGGCCCGGGCCGUGCACAGCACCACCUGCUGCGCGGACAUCUCCAUUACAAUGACAACCCUCCUCCAAAAAGCAGCCGGGCCGCCCGGGCCAGCACUUCGCCGUGAAAUCAUAUCUCGGUGUCAAGUUCCACAGCGCCAGAGUGAGAGGGGUUAAUCCUUAAUUAGCACGCAUUCCUUAUCUGUAUCUAAAAAAGGUCUGUUUUCCCCUUGAAGCCUCUCGUUCUCCCCGGACCAUUCUCCCUCCGUUUCUUUACCCCCCCCCUCCCCCUCGACAUCGGGGUUUCUCUCCAUCCGUCUCCCCGUCUCUCUUUAAAGACCGAGAUCCAAAUAGGAGUGGAUCACCUCCCUCGCUGGUGUUUCAUUAGAGGCAAUUAGAAAGCCGACUCUGCAGCGUCCCAUAAGGCUCGACGGGGAGAGGCGAGAACGCGGGCCGCAUUAGCUCGUUGAGAUGAAGUAUGGAUGACAACGCUUUCAUCAACGUGCAACAAUUCCUCGCCGCCGUCUCCGCGCCGAGUGUCAGAGGUACCGUUCUGACAAUUAUGACAAUUAACACUGUCAAAAUAAAGCCAUUAGCCGAGCGAGAGGGCAAAGCAAUGCACUUAAUUACAGGGUUUUCUGUCCAAAUGGAUUCCCUUCAGACAACUUCCAGGAUGAGAAAAAUAAAGAAUGAAAUAAGUUGAAUGCAUGAUGGAGGAGGGGUUAAACCAGUCGACAUCUGCCAUCGUAUUAGCGCCCGCCUCGGGUUGAUGAACCUUCCAGCCACACACACACCUAUUGAAUGUGCACACUCGAACAGAGACGCUGAAAAGUGCCCAUAUUGGGCAGAAUAUACGGAAAGAAUAUUUUUCCUUUAUUUUCUCCCAUUUCUUUUCUUUUAAAUAGAUUUUUGUGAGCGUCGGUGCUCUUAACAGCUUCUGUGCAGACCCCCUUUUCUCCCUUAUCUUGGACUCUGAGGCGAAGCAUCUCAAGUGUUCAUUAAUGCCUCAUACAUCUUCUUCAUAAACGAGAUCUGGCAUCUCAAUGGCAUCUGGAAUGAUUAAACUAAAAGGUUUAUAAAUCACAAUUUCUAACAAUGCUGAUCCUGCAUUGCGGUAAUGCUGGCCUCCAGGACACACUUCGCCUCGCACCAGCUUCCUCCAAACGGAACAAAGAGGGAUGCGCGGACGGGUCCGAGCCGCUGCGGAGCCACGGAUCCAGGACGUAGAUGUUGGCUGUGUCAAUAGGGAACAACCACGUAAAGAGUUAUCGGGUUUUGUCGCCUUUGAAAUAUGCAGCAGAGCACAUCUGUCUGCAGACGCUUGGGGGGGAAUCUGCCCGACUUUGACGUGACAAUGUGGAAAUACAAUUACACAAUCUCGAGGGGACGGCCUGUCACAUUAUAUUUACCUUGGGUCAAAGCAAAGAGGGCUAUCUGCACAUGUAUCCAACAUCUCCUGCGAGUGGGUGAGGUUGUUAUUCACACACGAAGAUGUGGUCUUGUUUAUACCUGCUGCACACACGAGUGGUACCAUGAGACGUAAACGCCACAUCAACAACCAGAACUGCAGGCCUCCUGAAGGCUGUGACCCCUGAACGACCUCCGGCGUCCAGUGGUGUUCCGGGUCAAAUCGCAGUGACGGGGUGGGAGGGUCAAAAGGUCACAUCUUUUGGAAACCACCGAGGUUCCGGUUCAGCGAGGAGCGUUCUCUCUGAUCGCUUUGUAAUUAAUUAUCUCAAACAAAGCGAUAAAAAGUGGGGGAAAUAAUCGACUGGAUAUUAAAUGCGUCUGUGAUUAUCUGUAACGGGGGACGUUCCAGCGCCUCGCGGGGGGAGAGGUGGGAAAGUUUGGGCGACAACAACUAUCAACAAGCUCUUAACUAAAUAUAUUUCAUCUGCUGUAACUUCACAAUAACACAAAGUUCAAUGUCACUGCCAAUAAAUACUUACAGAAAGUUAAUCGCAACAACUUCAGACAAAAGCAAAGAGGGAGACGCCUCUCAGUAUGUUAUAAUCAAAGAAAACAUAUAUAUAUAUAAAUAUGAUUGCAUUUCCGUAAUCUGGUUUCCUGAGUUAAUCCACAUCUUGAUGGAAUCAGCAUGUCCGUGAAUCAGACCACUUUGAGUCAGACGCUGCCGCUGCCUCUCCCCUUCUUGCUCUUUAUCAGGACGGGGAAGCCGAUGACUCCCUUCAGAUAAGGACGGGAGCUCUCCGCUUAAAGCUCCCUGCUAAUAAACGAGCAUCUUCUCCGAGCGCUUAUUGUGUUUCACAGGGGCAAAAUGCAAUUGUGUCAUUUUUUUUUUGUGCCGCGCGUCAGAAGGAAGUGGGCCGCGCGCGAUGACUCACUGCGCCGAAAACGCUCUGUUUCCAAUCGAAGAAAAUCGAAUCUGAGCUCUGUUUGCCCCGUUCUUUUCCACGUCUCCAUUUGUUUGUUAAGGCUGUGAGCAGUGACGGUAAAUGGGCGGAUAAGUCGAGGCAAAAGCAGCGACGGUUGGCGGACGGGCCGUCAGCUUAUCAAUAAAUGACAUCAUGUGCCCCCCGGACGUCUCUGUCGAUCACGUUGAUGCCACUGAAAACUGAAAACAAGGCGGAGAAGAGAAAAAAAAAGAAGAAGGGAAGGAGAAAUGUCCAUUUUCCCAUUAGGGCUGUCUGGGCGGAUGACAGAGUCAAGAGACACUGGGGACAUUUGGUCUGUCUGAGGAGACGUCCGAGCAGCGUCCAUAAACACGCCUCCACUUUGCAGAAUAGAACUUCACAGUCGCCGGUCAGAAUAAAGACACAUUAACUGCGUUUGACGGCAUGUCUGAACUUAUUCCAUCUGACUCAAUCAAUGAACUAUUCCUCCACUCUGCAGAACAUUAAUACAUUACACUGUGCCACAUCAAUACAGUCGCGAUGACUCAAAUACAGUAAAUUAGAAAAUAGGAUUAAACUUCAAAUAUCAGGUUAAAUUGUUUUGCUUGAAUGGAAUAAAUUACAUUUAUUUCUUCUCUCUUUGUUCUACUUUUUUUGUUUCUCCAGUCAGUUCUUCUCAGUUAACUUAAAAAAGAUGCAUCCUCUGCUUGUUUAUUUCCCAUGUUCUUAAUUAUGUGCAGACGGGGUCUUGUGCUCUGGCUCGGUACAACCUGCUAUCACGGCUGUUGUUCUACGGCUAAAUAAAACUCCCCGUGACCAAACACUCGGUGGAAAGUCCCGUACUUCACCAACAAAGACGCUCUUGUGUUUGAUUCGAUAUUAAUUGAGCCGCGUCAUCUCUGCGGAAAGUUUGAGGGACGAUUGAUCAUGUGAUUCGGGCAGUAAACCUCCUCAAAUAGUGGUUCUCACAAAAUGUUGCAUGCCACAAAAAACAACAAUGAAUCUCCGCAGAAUAAAAGCGUCGGUUGUGUUUCGUAAGUCCUUCGACUUCACUAGCUGCGGGCCUGGUGGGGGGCCGGGGGGCCGCGAGGCUCGAGGCUGUUGAAACAACACUAACGGCAACGCAGACUUUUAUUCGCUAGAUGAAUAAGAGUAAACAGGUGACAG
ensembl:lncRNA